UAGUAUUGGUGAUCAGAGGUUUUGCCUAUUUAUAGAAGAAAAAAAAAAAAACAUGCCUAGUCUUUGAGUAAGAUUAAGAAGGCAGAAACAUGAGGAUAUGUUGGCAUUAUAAGAUAACAUGAUAGUAUAUUGGUCAUUUCAAAAGGCUACUGGGGAGAACCCAUGAGCUUAAUUUUGAGAGUGCCUGUAGUGAGAAAAGCAUAUUCAAUGUAUGUAUGUUUGAAUUCUCAUUUCCUGUAGUAAGGAUCUUUAAUUAUCUUCAUCUUUUGUUUUUAUUAGUCCCUGAAGCUGCUCUCUAUUAUGGCUGCAAUCCGUUUGGAUGACAAGGAUGAUAAAAUCGAGACUACUCUCUCACUUGCUCUAGUAGAGUCGGUGAAUGGCAAUGUUACUGAUAGGAGCAUCAUUUCAUCUGACCCACUGGCUUCAAGCACUUAGGAAGAGGUGACAUUUGUAGCUUCUAAAACUCUUUCUUGAUGUGUUUGGCCCAUGAACUUUCUUAUUGAUCACAAAGACUUGGUAUGAAGAAGGAUAUUUCACAAUAAGGAAUGAAAAACAGCAAAGGUUUUGAUCUGUAGAGGUUUGUUGAUCCCACGUGCUUAUAUGUGUAGCCUUGCCCCUCUACAUGUCUGAACAUGUGUAUGGUGCACAUGUUGUGGACAUCCAAGCUGUCCAUCAUUCCAUCCCCUAUAGGGAGCUUUAUCGUGUUUCCAUGAUCUCUGUAUAGGUGGGGACUAUUUUGAAAUGUUACUUACAACCGACUUCGGCUGUUCUACAAGUUACCCCAUAUGUAAAGAAGGAGCUUAUCAUGACCACUUUUCAGACAGUGGGAAGGAUGGUAUUGAUGUGUGGAGAUGGGACCAAUGAUGUUGGGGCUCUAAAGCAGGUAUUAAUGCCCCUCUUUCACAUAGUUGUUUUUAUCUUAUUAUCCAUUAAUUUGUAGGCUGCUAAUUGAGUCCAUUUGUUUGAAAUCUGAACCACAGUUUGUUGGCCCAUUU